rnacentral:lncRNA from 7 species
GGUGAGCGCUGCUGAGGGUGUGUGGAGUGGUUCCACCCUCCCCGCAGCUGCAGCACAAGUACAGCACCCUCUGUUCAGCUGCUCUGCUGUAAGGAACGAGGGGCACGAGAGCACCCGGGCAGCAGGGGCUCGGGAACCUCCGCGGCCAGGCUCCAGCUUCAUGCCGCUGCUCGCGCUCCCCCUCUGAAAGUAGCCCAGCAGGCUGAGGAAGAUGUGGCCGGAGAAGAGGUCAUUUUUCUAGAUUCCAGAUUUGCAAUCAGUGAGGACAUCUAAACUCCAGUAUACCAACAACAAAGUUCCCAAACCAAAAUCCUCUCUGGACAAACUGAGUGUGAGAGCAAAUAUCAAAGAAGAGAGAAAAACAAAAAUAAAAAAAAAACUGUUCAUUAACAUCAGAGCUGUUUUGUAGCUGAUUUUGUUAAUGCCUAUGAUGUUAGCAGAACCAAGCCUGCCCUUCAGCAAACAAAUCUGCCUUUGAUUUCACACACUCUUAAGAAUAUUUGGGGAAAGAGAAAAAACCCCUCGCUGAACAAACGUGCAAGAUACAAACUACACUUGUUGCAGACCUUGUGGGUUGUUGGCUUUUUUUUUAAGCCUGAGGAUCAGCUCUGCCACCACAAUGCUUCUGGGAAACUGAUUCAUUUUCUUCAAUUAUCUGUUUAAAAAGACAAAGGAUCACAAACUGGCAGUCAAACAAGCAGCUCUCCCUCACAUCUCAAUAAAGAAGAGAGCGGUGCACAGAGGUUUCUGACUUCAGAACUCUGGAUGUAGAUGACCUGUGCUGUUAGCUUGGUGACACUUACUGUUAUUCCCACACUACCCGGCUUCCAAAACAAACAAAACUUCUGAGCCUCAUCUAUGUCUGGAGAACCCGAGGAGAAAACUGUCUUAUGAAUGUCACAAGUGACAAGGGAACCAUAGUUCUUGCUUCUUCAGAAAUUUGGACUGAGUGAGAAAAGCUACUGAAUCCCAAUGAGGCCCAAGUUCAAAGAAGUUCCUGUACCCACACUUCUGGCCUCAACAGAAUAUGAGAACUUUGCUAAAUUAAACACAACAAGAGACACUGAAAAUAAGCAGCUAGAGGGGUCCCUCUCAUCCACUAUUGCACUGAUAGUAGUGCUGAUUAUUAUUUUCUCUUUGAUAAUGACAUCCCUAGUAACCUACUGCUUUCACAAGUGGAAACUCAGAGAUAAAAAACUGCAGAAAGCACAAGAGGAAUAUCAGAAAGACCACGAAAGGAGCAUUUUUCAAAGCACGCCUGGACUCGUUUCAUAAAAGAAAAAAGGAUCCAACAAAAUAUUGUUGCAUUACCUAGAAAUAAUAAAAAGAAUGGCAACUAUGAAAUUUCCAAGCAAAUGUAUCCUUGUUUUAUCUCAUUUAUAAGAGUUGUUAGCAGUUUGGAGAUUUCCUACAGCUUUAUUAUAUAUAUUUAUAUAUUUAGUCUCAUUUGUGUGAAGUAAAACCGACACGAACUUGUAUUUUUAAUCUCUAUUGUAUUACUAAUACAGAAAGUUGAACUCUGCCACUGCUGUCUUUUCAAAAAUCCAUUGGCCCACGGAAGGCAAAAGGUCAGAUGUUGGUUAAUGCUACCAACGCAGCUGAUAGAAAUCAAUGGAGUUGCGUUGCCUUGCACUCAUCUAACCAUCCACCUGAAGAUUUUGAAAUCCAGUUGUAACCUUACGUAAAUUAGAUUCACAGAUACUCAGCAAGCAACAGCCUGGCUCUGCAAGCUUAUAACUGAAGAACUUUGCCUUCAGUGACAGAUGCAUGCAGGCUCAAGCCCUGAGUUUGCUUGCAAGCCGUCAGUCAGCGUUUGCUUUCAUUGAUCAUUCAGUGCUGAGAGGUGCUAGUGGCAUUCCAACCACAAGUGGAUUAAGGACAUACAAUGUUAGUAGAACCUAUCUUACCAAGAGCAAGCCUAACAUAACUUUCUUUUUUUUUUUUUUCCAAUUGGGCUUGUAAUUAUUUUUAAACCAACUAUAUAAUGGUGUGUUUCUAUUUUCAUAGCCUGUAAUAUGUCUCAGAAAAAUGACAGCUCUAUUGUGAGUAGCAUAUAAGUAAUAUUUUCUAACAAAGUGGUGGAUGUAAUACUAAUAUAUGUAAUUGUUUUAACAAGUAUAAAACAUGUACAAUUACAAACAAAAUCCGUGCUCAAGUAUACAGCUUGCUUGCAAUUACCAUUGAUGCUGUAUGUAUUUUUAAACAAGCUAUAAUACUGUGAUGAUGCUGUAAACUUCUGUAGGCAAAAAAAUGUUCUAUUUAAAAAUGUCAAGAUGAAGGAUGUAAAUGUUCUUAAAGUGCUAUCAACUAAAGAUAUGAAUUUUC